AAGGAAUCAAACUUAAUAGUAAAUGAUUGUUAUUAAUGAAUUUUGUUCUAUUCAGUAAAGGAAUAUUGAGAACUAUAAUAAAGUUACCAGCGGCGGACCUACAGCUAUCGAGACCCGAGCGGAAGUCUCCCUGGAGCCCCCUAAUUGGAAUGAUCGCCAUACAAAAAUUUCGACACAAAUAUAUGAUAUUUGUGUCGAAAAUACAAAUAAUAUAUACUUGCGUUGACAUUUGUAUGGUGGAAAUUAUGGCCAUACAACUUGGAUUGGUGGAAAUGAUCACCAAUAUUGGAUUUGUAUGGUAUGGU
rnacentral:lncRNA from 1 species